UAGGUCCUGGAGCAGCUGAACUCGCAUCUCCGUCUGCUGUUCCAGGCAUUUUUGUUGCUCUACCAGCUGGGCUCGGAUUUCUGAGGAAAGACAAGAAUCCCCCGGUGAUGUCAUGGAAGUGACCACGAAGCGCAAACAGGCAAGGCAUGCAGAGUGACUCCUGUCACAGGGGCAGCCCUGUUUACGGCCUCUGCUGGAGUCCUGUACCCAGAUGACUCUGCUGUGUAUCAAGAAGAGAAAAACUAACAAGCAUACACGGCAACUUUUAGAAACUCCAUUGAGAAGAGAUUGAACAGUUCUGAGCAAAGAUGGUAAGAGAAUCAGACCCGCGUCGCAGAGAAUGGCAUAUGUAAACAGGUGAAAUGCUAAAUACUGUACCCUUCACAAGAUCAUUUCAUCUGUAAGUGUAUAGUCCUCCUCCCAAUGGUGAAUUAGUAGCCAAAAUGAACUACCACCACCAGCAGCAACAACAAAAUAAAAUAACAUUUUUAAAAUCCA